CCAUGUACUAUUUUUCAAUGCCAUCCUACCAAAUAUUAGUGAUAUCCAUAAAAUCAAAUCUGCAUCCUGAUGUUGAAAUCUCUAGUUCAUUUUGGCUAUUACUGAGACUUGAUUUGUAUAUACCUGAAGCCACUGGAUCCCUUCUUGGCUUCUUUGUCUCUUAUAGAUUACUUGACAUUUUCUACUGUCUUUUUUUCUUUUUAUAUUAUAGUUGCUACUGUCUAAGGCAACAAUUCUCAAACUUCUUGAUCUCAAGAUCCUUUCAUACUCCUAAUGGGAGGACCCUAAAGUUUUUUAUUACUGAGCCAGAAUUCAAGAAAACCUGAAUUCAGAUGUGACCUUGGACAUUUACUAGGCAUCAUAAUCAUGUUCCAGUGUUGGCUCUUUAAGGGUAUGACUUUGCCACAUGUAUAUUUUGUGCAGCUCCUACUACAUAAGGAAUGCUGAGUAAAUAUCCAAGAUGGACUUCUUCGAAAGACAAAAGGAAAAGGGAAGCUUUGCUGCAAAAAUGGAAGUUGUAUCUCUCAGGAGGACAAUUUCUGUUCUACUUGUGUAAAACGGAAACCAUUAUAACCCACUUCGCCAAUGUCAUCUGUCCCUUUCCCUGGCUACUAUGGUAGUGUUAUAAAGAGAAACGGUAUCAUUAAGUACCCUUUACAUACCGUUGGCUGUUAUUUACUGCUGGAGAAUUGGGAAUGUAUACUCUCUGACUUGCCAGGAGGGACUAGCUUUAAUUCUAGAUAGCCCAAGUACCUUUUCUUAACUGACUCCCAUUGGGGACAGAAAUGCAAGGCUACAACCUCAAACUUUCUUUUCGGAGAAUAAUGCCAAUCUUGCCUCCUACUGAACCUUUUUUGAAAAUUAGAACUGUUAAAGAGUAAAAUUGAUGAAUCUGAAUUUCACUUCCUUUCCCUUUCCAGACCCUCCCUCUGGUGGAAGAGACGUGAAAUAGCCAAAAAAAAAAAAAGACAGAAUGGAGGGGGAGAAACAGGGGGGCCUGAAUGAUUAACAAACUCAAUGAUUAAU
rnacentral:lncRNA from 1 species